AGAAUGUUCUCCAACACAUCCUAUGUUCCUUCUGCUCUUCUCUCCGCAGUGGAUCGCUCGUUACGAGAUCGUCUCCUUUCACUCCCAGUAUCUACCGUUUCUUCUCCUUCUCUUCUAUCUAUUUACUUUGGUUGUAUUAAUUUCCCUUUCUAGCUUUUGUUUGAUCUUUUGUACAGAAAAAAUCAGAAAAUUGGUAUAAAAUUUGACCUUUUAC
rnacentral:lncRNA from 1 species